rnacentral:tRNA from 1 species
GCCCGCCUAGCUCAAUCGGAUAGAGCGUCAGACUUUUACAAGUGUAUAUCUGAAGGCUGCGAGUUCGACCCUCGCGGUGGGCU